GCAGGGAGUUGAUAGACUUCAGACAUCCUCUCCCAAGGAAGGCUGCUGCUUUGGGAAGGAGGGAACGAGGUGGUCUGAUUGCCAGGACCCAGGGUGAGGAGGGUUGGGAGGACAGAGGCUGUGUGGGGAUCAAGAGCAGAAGCUGACUUUGGCAGGUAGAGGAAUGGCUCAACAGGGUGAGGGCUGACAAAAGUGGAGACUGUCAGUUUGUAACAGCACCUGUCUGCAUGGCUGGGGCACUUCUCCACAGAGCUCUAGUAUGGGUGAAGGAGUGGGAACCAGCCCCAAGGAGUCUCUGUUCAGUUUGCCACAGUAGCUGGACAGAUCAGUUCUUACCUGUUUGUCAUUGUUGAGCCCUGACCCUGAGUUCCCAUCCUCUGGCAGCUGGGGCUUCGUAGGGACCUGACCAGUCCUCUGGAGGCCACAUGGGAGUUACAAGGAUAGAGAGCAUCCUUGCUGUCCAGGAGUUCUCUUUGCUGGUGAAGAUGCUCGAUUUCUACACAAUAGGCAGACCUCUCCUUAUGAGUAGCUGGCUUAGCUAGGUACUCACACCUAUACUCAUACUAUGCUUGGCAGUACAAUGUCACCUGAGCUCAGUAUUGAGGAAAAAGAGGUGUUCCCUGGGUUCAGAAGGAGCACCAUGUAUGAGGUCAGGAGUUCAUGGUGAGAUUGUUCCAGGUGGAGAAUGUUUGCAGGGGACACACAGACUACGGAACUGGGCCACAGGAAGGAAACCUCAUAAGCCAUGUUAAGAAGUUUGGCCUUGACCCUGAGUGCAUUGGGGGUCCACGCCUGCAUUCUGUAACAUAGUCGUUCAUCAAAUGAGAGCAUCUCGGCAGACUUGCCUGGAAAUCUCAAGUCCCUGGUCUGGAGGAAGGAGCUGCUAUGUGAGGGUUGUUUCCAUCAUCAGAUCCAGGAUGUGUUACUCCUGGGCCAAAGGAGACGGACUGAAAAGGAACUGGGAGUGGGGAUGGAGUGGUUCUCUUAAAAAUGAGAUCAUAAAAGUGGUCUGGUGGUUGAGUGACCAGCCGUAAUUAAAUAUAUUACAGGGCCUCUUGUGAGGAAGCCUGAGUGAGACUCUGAUCACCAUUUCUAAAUUAGCUACUGAAGGAUAACCUGUCCCUGCAUUUCAUGUGACCCAUCUGAUGACACAUUUGGGGGAUUCCACCUGUCCAAAGUGGGAGUGGGUGAGGCAGGUUGUUUCUGAAUGCUCCUCAAGUGGAAGUGGGGGGUGGGAGGAUCUGUGGUCUAUAAACGGUCUGUAAAUUAUGCAAGCACUGAAUUGGAGUCAGCUGCAUGAGCCCAGGCAGGUUCCUCCCAUCUCGGAGCCCCCUGAGCGGGUGUGAGUGCUUGGUAAACCAGAAACCGCACCCCACUGCUGCAAAACCACUUUCUCAGCUGGCUCUGACCUUACUGGAAAAGGGCAUUUUUUAUUUUAUUGUCUUUUAUAUGUUUACGUGUCUGCCUUCUCCAUAGUCUGAAGUUCUUUGAGGGCAGGAACCUCAUCUAAUGGAUCUGGGUUUGUCUAGGACCUGGUUCCCAGUACUCGCUCGAGGCUGUGGGUAGCUGUAAAAUUACCGCCUGUAUCAUACAUUAUUGCCUGAGUAUCUGGGUGGGAAACAGAAGUCCCCAACUGUACCUCUGCAUUAUUCCCAGAUUUUAAGGUGUUUGGCUUUGGUGGCUGUGGCCACUGAGCGCCUUCUCUUCCUCAUGCUCUGACUGUCUCCCAGUGGUGCUGUGGUUUCCUGCUCAUCCUACAAUCCCACAGGGGCCUUAAGGGCUGCCACAGGGCCCCCGCUGUGGGUGGAAGCCACUUCUCCUAGGACUGAAGGCAUCUGCCCAGACCUCUUCGACCCUCUUCCUCACGCUUCUGUGUUUUUUCCAGGGCACAGAUCAGAGCUUCUGUUUGCUGGUCAUUUUGUGAUCCACACACAGUAUAAAUGAAAGCUGCUAAAACCAAUAAAUUCAAACCAUGUGUAGGCACUGGGGAAGAGCAGGGACGUCAGAGGGCCUGAUCGUGAGGUGGCGUCAGUGCUGACGGCCCCGGAGCUGAUUUGUAUAUGAGAAAAGUAAAUACCCAAAGUGGUAAACAGCCUUGGGUCUCUCAUCAUCGCUGGAAUUCAAAGGCAUUUAAUAGGAACACCCACUCUCUGUGUCUUGUAAACAAAGCGAGAUUCUCUGUGUGUGCUGACCUAAAUUCUGCAUUUUCAUCUUUGGGAAAGCCAGCCAGUCAUUUUAUUCGGGAGACCUCAGCCAGUCUGGGCCCCUGGGUUGGGUUGCCUUCUUUCUGGUUUUGUCACUUUUGCUUUGCAAAAGGCUACCUUUACAUCACUCUUUGGCCUUGGAUCAAAUGAGACUGGUGGUCAUUCUUACCCCUGUCCCGAUGAGAAAUAUGGAUCCCGAGAUGUAAAUCAGUUUGCCCAAGAUCACACACAUCAGAGCCCUUCUCUCCUCCCUUAGAUCCUGUUUUCCAUUCCUCUUUCAGUGAAUGGUACUUCUGUUCUCCCUGACUCAGAAUCUCAGAGGCAUCCUCAUCCACUCCUUCAUCAUUUUCCCUCCCGUCCAGUGUCUCCUGGGCCUUCCUCUGGGCCCCUGCUUCCUCCUAUUUUGUUGUGUUGUGUUGUGUUGUGUUGUGUUGUAUUGUAUUGUGCUGAAUUGUAUCGUAUUUCAUUUCAUUUCAUUCAGGCCAUUCUUGUGCUCAGGAUAGAGCCCCAGGGAAGGAACCAGACAGUCUGGGUUUGGGGUUCUGGUUUCUCUGCCUGUCAACUGUGUGGCUGCCGACAAGGUCCUUCUCUGAGCCCUGCAGCUUCCACAUAGGUAAAGUGGGGAUAAAAUGCCUACUUUCUUGGAAUGGCUGUGAGGAUUAAUGGAGCUCACAUGUGUGGAAAUAGCCAGACUGCUCAGUGACUCAGAUCAGAUAUUUGCUUCUCAUUUGGGAUUUGUCUGAUGUUUUUCCUGUGAUGAGACUGGGUUAUGUGUUUAGGGGAGGAAGGUUAUAGAUACAGUGUAUAUUAUAUCAAUGGCCUGCACUAACAACAUGGCUUAUCACUGUUUAUAUUAACCUUGAUCACUGGGCUGAAGCACUGUUUGUCAGGUUUCUCUAUAGCAAAGUUGCUGUUUUUAACACCUUUCCAUGCUCCACACUUUGGAAAGAUGUUACCAUGAGCAGCCCACACCUAAGGACUGGGGAGUUGUGUUCCCCCUCAGUCAAUGUCCUUUGAAUGCUCACUAUGUGCUGGGCAUUGUUGCAGAUGCUGAAAAUACACAUACAGUGGUGAAUGAGGCAGAGAAGAUCCUUUUCCUGAAUGGAACAUUCAUGAAAGUGAGGAUUUAACAGUGAAUAAAUAAUGUUAAAUUAUGAUAAGGGGUAUAAAGAAAAAAAAAGGCUAGAGAGGGACCAGAGUGCUAGGGGAUGGAGGGGGGCACAGACAGGAGCAGCUUUCAGGAGAAGGUGACUUUCCAGCUGCAUCCAGAGGGCAAGGAGGAGCCAGCUGUGAACACCCACCUGGAGAAAGCCCAUCCUGGGCAGAAAACAGCAGAUGCCAAGGCUCUGAGGCCCACUUAAACAGCACAAAGGAUAUGGUGACUGGAGUACUGUGUGCAUGGAACAGCUUCAGGGGAUGGAGCAGACAGAAAGUGGGGUGAGAUCCUACCAGGCCUGCAGAUGACAGGAAGGCAUUUGGAUUUUAUUUUAACAGUGGAAGCCAUUGGUUUAAAGUGGGGGAAUAUCUGGUUUGUUUUUAUGUAUAAAAGAUGGCUUUGGCUGUGGCUUGCAGAACAGACUGCCCUGGGCACAAGAGCAGAGGAAACUGGGAGACCAGUAUGGGUGCUGUUGGAAUAAUCCAGGUGAAGGGUGGCAGUGGCUUGUGCCUGGGGAGAACAGGUAGACGUGGAUUUGGGAGGUAGAGCUGACAAUGCACGUGAUGAGUUGCUUCUGGAGAGAACAAGAAAUGGGUGUGACACUUGCACGUGGUGGUACUAUUACAUGACAUCAGGGGAGGCUGAGGUAGGAGCAAGUUUAAAAGGUAAAACUAGAGAUACUGAUGGUUCAUUAGAAAAGGUUCACCAGAGUCUGUUUGUUGGCACCAUUCUUAGCAGCCCCUCUGGGAUGCAUCACAUAACUGGAAGGAUAAGAAUGGUUCUGUUUGUUGAUUCAAAUGCCACCUUUCUCCUCGGCAGUUCACAGUACUGAAGUAUAAGAUGCAAGUGGCACACAUCCAUGGCAGGUGGCAUGGAUGUGAAGAGUGUACCAAUUAUUUAGGGGCCUGGCCACCUGCUGCUCCUUCAGAGUGUCUGCCAGGCACCAAGUGGGAUAUACCUUCCUACAUCUUUCAGUGCCCAGCCCAUAGGAAUUAAUUUUUCCUGUCCCAGCUAACUAACCAUAUAUUGGUUUGUGUUGAGUUAUGUCUACAGGAUAGUCAGUCAACAAGUAUUUAUUGACCACCAGCUACUGUGUAAUGCUGUCUUAGGCACGAGCUGUGGUCCCUGUCUAGGUGACUAGGGAACAAAGUGUGGGUAACAUGUUCACACAUGUGCAGUUGGCCACAAGCGAGAGAACUUGUGUCCCCAGGGAUGCCUGGAAGCAUCAGUGAGGGCUCCCUGGAGGAGGUGGAAACAGCUGUCAGUUUGAAAUGCAUGAAAACACUGGGACAUGUAGCUAGGGUUUCUGUUAGGAAAUUAGAGGGAGAAAGGGUAAGAGAGGUAAAAUUAUGGUCCAUAGACCAGCAUAGGGUCAGAAUAGCUGCUCAAAAGCAAUUUGCUGGAUGAGGGAGUGAUUGGCAAGUAAGAUGAUAACCACUCUCUAGAGGAUGUGAAGGUCAGUGUCUCCUCUGGGCCGUGAAGAACCACCGCCAAAUAGAACCAGCGUCUAAAACACUGGAAGGAGCCAGAUCCUGAAGAAAGGUUUUUGAACUUCUAGCCAGUAUUUAAUUUAUUAUAAUAAUAACGAUACUGCUAAUAAUAGCAAUAAUUUUUAUAACUGCUUAAUGAGCGUUCUUUUUGCUGGAAAAGCACUGUUAGUUACAUGCAUGGCCCCGUCUGUGUGUGAUUAGAGGUUACUGACUGAGACCAAGAGGGCCUUUUUUAUCUGGAGGUUUUGUUGUUUUUUUUUCCUGGUUGGACUCUGCCGAUAGUCCAUCUCACUGUUGGCUCUUCAGUCUGUUUGUGUUCCAUGGGAUACCACAAAAGCACAGUCUUAGACAAGGUAAAUAUGCCAAAUCCUUAUUAUAACAUUUAAUCACUUAGGGAGGUUUCACUCUGAGGUGGGGGUGGAGGGGUGGUGGGAAUGGAAAGAAAAGUCCAGAUUGCUUUGAUUAACUGCAUUUUUCUUUCUGGGUGAAUGGGAAGGCUUUGGUGGAAAUCUCAGUCAUUGAGGCUGUUUCCAGGAGAGAGUAAGAAAAGCAAUUGAGGAGGUUCUGGAGUCUUGGUCAGUAGUAGGUAUUAAGCACCUAUUGUGGGCAUGGUGCUGGACUAGGUGCUGACAGAAUAUGCUGGAAGAAGGCACCUGUCUCCCAUAUUAGAAUGUAUGCCUGGGAGGCAGGAACUUGGGCAUGGACAGGCCUUGGGCACAAGGUGGACCUCAGUAAAUUCUCAUUGAUUGGAUAAGAAACAACCACAUGGCAAUUAAUUGUUUUAAGGAUGCAGACUGGUGAGAGAUCACUCCCAACAGGAUUCUCUAGCCUGGGCAUCAUGGAAUAAAUGGUGUUUGAUAGAGGCCUUUCUCCACUUGUAACUGCAUGCAGGCAAGCCAGCUUCCUGUGGUUUUCUCAUGUGUUGUGAGGUUGUUUCUCUGCACUUUGUGUGUGAGAGAGCUGGCAUUCAGAGGGUUAAGAGAUUCAUUCACAGGGCCAAGAGAGCAGGGCCAUACCUGAUUUAUUCACCAGUCUGGCUCAGGGGCUGCCAUAGUAUUCCUUCACCUAGCAGGUUCUCAGGGCAUAUGUAUUGAAUGAGUAAAGUAUUUUAGAAGUAUACUGUGUUGGAGGCCCUCAGAAAUAUAUAGGAUGUGUAGCCGUGAUAUGAACCCUUCUAUUUCCAACACCUGAUUUCUUUUACUGUACUGACCAAUUUCAUUAUGGCAGAGAUUGAGUAUUAGAUUAGAUCAUUGUUCAGAAAUAGUCACUCCCCACCUCCCACUUCCUCGAGCCUGCAGUGAGGUAGGGUUUGGCCAUAUGACUUGCUUUGCUUUUUAUGUUGGGCAAAGUGUACUUCCUGGCUCCAGGACUUUGGGCUCUGUGAUGUGACAUGCUUUGGCCAAUGAGACAUGAAGGAAGCAGAGCCUUAAUGUGUUGCUUAACUCACCCUCUUGUGCUUCUGCCACCACCAUGAGAAGAAAAUGUCCCCAUGUAGCAACUGCCCUUCUGGCCUAGGUUUCAGAGUGAACACAGCCCAACCCACAAGGAAGGGCCAAGCUGAAAUGGACACAUGAGCUGGGUUGGGCUGGCCAACCCAGAUCAGCCAACCCCAAGCUGACCCACUGAGAAAAUAAGCAAAUUAUUGCUUUAAGCCACAAAGCUUUGGGGUGGUUUGUAUUGCAACAGAGCAGUAACUGACUGGUACCAGAGAGAAGGGCCCCUCAGGCAGGGGCUGGCCCAUAACACACAUAAUGGAGGGAAAGAAGGCAUGAGGGGCAGGAGGUAAGGCUGGCAGGAUAGGUUUCAGCUCAGUCUCUGAAGGUUUUGAAUGUCAGUGUAAGGAAUUUGAUCAUUUUCCAGCAGGCAGUAAGAGGCACUGAAAGCUGGUGAGCACAGAGGGAUGAGAUCCGAACUAGUUAUGGAAGGGUAAGUUUGAAAAGAAGUGCAGAAUGGUUAAUAAGAGAGGAGACUAAGGUCAAAGGAUAUAUUGGAAAACCGCUAUUACUUUUCCCCCCACUGCAUCCCAGAGCCUAGCACCAUGCCCCUUCAACAGUAGGUACUUAAUGAAUGUUUGUCCAAUGAAUAAAUGUAUAACAAAAUUGUCCAUGGGGUUGGUUAGGAGGACUUUGAAAAUAAAAGUCUCUGAUAAUUCAACUAUUCAUUCAAUGACCAGUGUUUGUUAAGGUCCUAAACUUGAUAAGUUCUGGAAGCUGGACAGAUCCUCAAGAGAUGUCCAAGGGAUCCUUCCCCAUACGCUUUGGAACGGGGCUUGGGCUGACAAACAGGAAGGGCUGGAAUGUGAGAGAGGAAUAGUGGGCACAGUGGAAGGCAGGCACUGGGAAGGGGCUGCCUCGAGGGAGGGCAGGCUCCCCCGUCUUGGUCAUGAGGACACAUGGAGGGUGAGUGUCAUCUUUUCUGGUCUCACCUGGGAACGGAACCAUGUGGCUUGUCCUCCAGCUGAAAUCCACCACUGGUUCUGCAGGAGCUGCUAGGUUUGUGAAUUCCAAUUAUAUUUUAACUUUCCUUUUAUACCAAGCUGUCCAGUAUUUUAGGCUUUGUGUCCAUACCUUCAUUCAUUCUGCUUUGGGCCGGGCUCUGGGCUGUGUGAUGAGGAGCCACUGAUGAUUGAGAAGCAGUCUCUUGUUUAAAGGAGUGUAUAGUUCUGUAAUUCAUAAAUCCCUAGAGUGUGACUCUGGCAAGUCUUGGGCCUUUCCCAGCCUAUUUCCUCAUCAGUUAAAUGGCCACUGAUAGGCCUAGGUUCAAUACUAAGUCUGCCCAUUGCUGGCUACAUAACCUUGAGCAAGUCACCACUUACUGAGUCUCUGAAAGGUGGUCUAGGCCCUGACUGGUAUGGGCUGCAUUCUGGAGAUGCUGCCUGUGUGAGCAGUCGGGAGCAUUUAUUUGAACCUGCUCCAGGUCAGGAGACAUCACCCUCCUUCCCCCAAAAUGAUGAGUUGAGGAUGAUUCCGAGGCUCUGUUGGGCUUACUGGGAGAUGAGAUUGUGAUGAACUAAUGAUGGACACAGGAGAACCUGCUGGUUGCAGGACUGUACCAAGUGCUUGGCAGGGCCGAUCAUUUUCUUCAGGUUGCAGGAUCAGCCACCCAUUCAUUUCCACUCACUCGACAAAACACUGCUGAGCGCUGCUCUGUGUUGGGAGUGCUCCAAAACAAAACAAUGUUCUGGGCCCAUGUGUGUCUGACAUUCUAGUGGGGACAGACAGGCAGCAAAUAAUAAGCAUAAUAAGUAAGUCAAAUAGACCAGAAGGUAAUGUGUGGUAUGAAAAUAAGAAUAGGACAGAAAAAGAGGCUCUGAAGGAGCCCCACCCCGCCUCGCCCUUGUCUAAAUGCAGAGCAGCCUCAGAUGCAAGGCUGCAGAUGCCACUGCCCUUGGGACUCAGAC